GGGGAUAUAGCUCAGUGAUAGAGUGCAUGCCUAGCACACAUAAGGUCCUGGGAUCAAUCCCCAGUACUUCCA
rnacentral:tRNA from 1 species